rnacentral:rRNA from 1 species
UACGGAGGGUGCAAGCGUUAUCCGGAUUCACUGGGUUUAAAGGGUGCGUAGGUGGGCAGGUAAGUCAGUGGUGAAAUCUCCGAGCUUAACUCGGAAACUGCCAUUGAUACUAUCUGUCUUGAAUUAUCUGGAGGUGAGCGGAAUAUGUCAUGUAGCGGUGAAAUGCUUAGAUAUGACAUAGGACACCAAUUGCGAAGGCAGCUCACUACGGAUAUAUUGACACUGAGGCACGAAAGCGUGGGGAUCAAACAGG